GACGAACCGUGCGAACGUUGUUCGGAAUCACUGGGCUUAAAGGGCGCGUAGGCGGCUCGCCGAGUCAGGGGUGAAAUCCCGUCGCUUAACGACGGAAGGGCCUCGUGAUACUGGCGGGCUCGAGGGAGGUAGGGGCAGCGGGAACUUCUGGUGGAGCGGUGAAAUGCGUUGAUAUCAGAAGGAACGCCGGUGGCGAAAGCGCGCUGCUGGACCUCGACUGACGCUGAGGCGCGAAAGCCAGGGGAGCAAACGGGG
rnacentral:rRNA from 1 species